rnacentral:rRNA from 1 species
CCAAAGAUUUAAACUUAAAAGAAUUUAACGGGGGCCGGCAAACCGGUUGGAAGCAAUGUGUUUAAUUCGAUGCAAACGCAAAAACUUUCCUACCCUUAAAUGCUAGGAAACUUGUAAAAAGAUUACUUGGUGCCUUCGGGAACCGAGUACAGGGUGCUUGCAUGGCUGUCGUCAAGCUAGUGUCGUGAGAUGUUGGGUUAAGGUCCCGCAACUAAGCGGCAACCCUGUCCUUAGUUGCCAGCAUUUAGUUGGGCACUCUAAGGAGACCUGCCGGUGACAAACCGGAGGAAGGUGGGGAUGACGUCAAAUCAUCAUGAGCCCUUACGCCCAGGGCUACACACGUGCUACAAUGGCGCAUACAAAGGGUAGCUACCUGGCAACAGGAUGCCAAUCUCAAAAAGUGCGUCUCAGUUCGGAUUGAAGUCUGCAACUCGACUUCAUGAAGGUGGAAUCAGCUAGUAAUCAAAGCAUCAGCAAUGGCGCGGUGAAUACAGUUCCCGGACCUUGUACACACCGCCCGUCAAGCCAUGGGAGUUGGGGGGACCUGAAGGCAGUAACCGUCUAGGACGCUGUUUAGGGUUAAACCAGCGACUGGGGCUAAGUCGUAACAAAGAAACCUCAGUCAGUCAAAA